rnacentral:rRNA from 1 species
CCCUUAGAUGUUCUGGGCCGCACGCGUGCUACACUGAGUGGAUCAGCGGGUCAGGUUGCGCGAAAGCGUUUCCUAAUCUUGAAAUCCGCUCGUGAUGGGGAUUGACGGUUGCAAUUUUCUGUCAUGAACGAGGAAUACCUUGUAAGCGCGAGUCAUCAUCCCGCGCUGAAUACGUCCCUGCCCUUUGUACACACCGCCCGUCGCUCCUACCGAUUGAGUGGUCCGGUGAGGCUUUGGGAUCUGAGCGGAAAGGGCGUUUCGCUCGUUCUGCCCGGAAAACUCAGUCGAACCUUAUCAUUUAGAGGAAGGAGAAGUCGUAACA